UGGCGGACGGGUGAGUAAUACUUGGGAAUCUGCCCAGUAGUGGGGGACAACAUUCGGAAACGGAUGCUAAUACCGCAUACGCACUACGGUGGAAAGUGGGGGAUCUUCGGACCUCACGCUAUUGGAUGAGCCCAAGUCGGAUUAGCUUGUAGGUAGGGUAACGGCCUACCUAGGCGACGAUCCGUAGCUGGUCUGAGAGGACGAUCAGCCACACUGGGACUGAGACACGGCCCAGACUCCUACGGGAGGCAGCAGUGGGGAAUAUUGGACAAUGGGCGCAAGCCUGAUCCAGCAAUGCCGCGUGUGUGAAGAAGGCCUGCGGGUUGUAAAGCACUUUCAGUAGAGAAGAAAAGCCCUAGGUUAAUACCCCUGAGUCUUGACGUAACCUACAGAAGAAGCACCGGCUAACUCCGUGCCAGCAGCCGCGGUAAU
rnacentral:rRNA from 1 species